GAUUAACGCUGGCGGCGUGCAUAACACAUGCAAGUCGAACGAUGAAACUUAAAUGAUUUCUUCGGAAUGAACUUAAGUGGAUUAGUGGCGGACGGGUGAGUAACGCGUGAGUAACCUGCCUUACACAAGGGGAUAGCCGUUGGAAACGACGAAUAAUACCCUAUGAAACUAUCACUUCGCAUGAAGCGAUAGUCAAAGUGUUAGCGGUGUAAGAUGGACUUGCGUCUGAUUAGCUAGUUGGUGAGAAAAAAGCCCACCAAGGCAACGAUCAGUAGCCGGCUUGAGAGAGUGUACGGCCACAUUGGGACUGAGACACGGCCCAGACUCCUACGGGAGGCAGCAGUGGGGAAUUUUGCACAAUGGGGGAAACCCUGAUGCAGCGACGCCGCGUGAUUUAGAAGGCCUUCGGGUUGUAAAAAUCUUUUGUAUAGGAAGAAAAUGACAGUGCUAUACGAAUAAGGUCCGGCUAAUUACGUG
rnacentral:rRNA from 1 species